rnacentral:rRNA from 1 species
UACGAAGGGGGCUAGCGUUGUUCGGAAUUACUGGGCGUAAAGCGCACGUAGGCGGAUUUGUAAGUCAGGGGUGAAAUCCCGGGGCUCAACCUCGGAACUGCCUUUGAUACUGCAAGUCUUGAGUCCGAUAGAGGUGAGUGGAAUUCCUAGUGUAGAGGUGAAAUUCGUAGAUAUUAGGAAGAACACCAGUGGCGAAGGCGGCUCACUGGAUCGGUACUGACGCUGAGGAGCGAAAGCCAGGGGAGCAAACGGG